rnacentral:rRNA from 1 species
GGCCUUGCGCUCUUUGAGCGGCCGAUGUCAGAUUAGCUAGUUGGUGAGGUAAAGGCUUACCAAGGCGACGAUCUGUAGCGGGUCUGAGAGGAUGAUCCGCCACACUGGAACUGAGACACGGUCCAGACUCCUACGGGAGGCAGCAGUGGGGAAUUUUGGACAAUGGGGGCAACCCUGAUCCAGCCAUGCCGCGUGAGUGAAGAAGGCCUUCGGGUUGUAAAGCUCUUUCGGCCGGGAAGAAAUCGCAUGGGCCAAUACCCUGUGUGGAUGACGGUACCGGAAUAAGAAGCACCGGCUAACUACGUGCCAGCAGCCGCGGUAAUACGUAGGGUGCGAGCAUUAAUCGGAAUUACUGGGCGUAAAGCGUGCGCAGGCGGUUUUGUAAGACAGGCGUGAAAUCCCCGGGCUUAACCUGGGAACUGCGUUUGUGACUGCAAGGCUAGAGUACGGCAGAGGGGGGUGGAAUUCCACGUGUAGCAGUGAAAUGCGUAGAGAUGUGGAGGAACACCAAUGGCGAAGGCAGCCCCCUGGGUCGAUACUGACGCUCAUGCACGAAAGCGUGGGUAGCAAACAGGAUUAGAUACCCUGGUAGUCCACGCCCUAAACUAUGUCAACUAGGUGUUGGGUGGGUAAAACCAUUUAGUACCGUAGCUAACGCGUGAAGUUGACCGCCUGGGGAGUACGGCCGCAAGGUUAAAACUCAAAGGAAUUGACGGGGACCCGCACAAGCGGUGGAUGAUGUGGAUUAAUUCGAUGCAACGCGAAAAACCUUACCUACCCUUGACAUGCCAGGAACUUGCCAGAGAUGGCUUGGUGCCCGAAAGGGAGCCUGGACACAGGUGCUGCAUGGCUGUCGUCAGCUCGUGUCGUGAGAUGUUGGGUUAAGUCCCGCAACGAGCGCAACCCUUGUCGUUAAUUGCCAUCAUUUAGUUGGGCACUUUAACGAGACUGCCGGUGACAAACCGGAGGAAGGUGGGGAUGACGUCAAGUCCUCAUGGCCCUUAUGGGUAGGGCUUCACACGUCAUACAAUGGUCGGUACAAAGGGUUGCCAAGCCGCGAGGCGGAGCCAAUCCCAGAAAGCCGAUCGUAGUCCGGAUUGCAGGCUGCAACUCGCCUGCAUGAAGUCGGAAUCGCUAGUAAUCGUGGAUCAGCAUGUCACGGUGAAUACGUUCCCGGGUCUUGUACACACCGCCCGUCACACCAUGGGAGCGGGUUCCGCCAGAAGUAGGUAGCCCAA